GUCGCUGUGGCUUAGUGGUAAAGCGCCUGUCUCGUAAACAGCACAUCCUAGGUUCAGUUCUCAGCAAUGCCU
rnacentral:tRNA from 1 species